rnacentral:rRNA from 1 species
CCUACGGGAGGCAGCAGUGGGGGAUAUUGGACAAUGGGGGGAACCCUGAUCCAGCGACGCCGCGUGAGUGAAGAAGUAUUUCGGUAUGUAAAGCUCUGUCAGCAGGGAAGAAAGAAAUGACGGUACCUGACCAAGAAGCCCCGGCUAACUACGUGCCAGCAGCCGCGGUAAUACGGAGGGGGCAAGCGUUAUCCGGAAUUACUGGGGGUAAAGGGAGCGUAGACGGUUAAGUAAGUCUGGAGUGAAAGGCCGGGGCCCAACCCCGGGACUGCUCUGGAAACUAUUGAACUUGAGUGCAGGAGAGGUAAGCGGAAUUCCUAGUGUAGCGGUGAAAUGCGUAGAUAUUAGGAGGAACACCAGUGGCGAAGGCGGCUUACUGGACUGUAACUGACGUUGAGGCUCGAAAGCGUGGGGAGCAAACAGGAUUAGAUACCCCUGUAGUC